rnacentral:sRNA from 1 species
GCUGGGCAUAGUGGCACAUGCCUGUAAUCCCAGUGGCUCCGGAGGCUGAGUCAGGAGGACUGAGAGUUCAAAGCCAGCCUCAGCAACAAUGAGGUACUAAGCAAUUCAGUGAGACCCUGUCUCUA